GGUAACACCGGGUGGUCAUCCGUUCAAGUGGACACCAUACUCAUUACCUCGGAAAGUAUUAACUUUUUCCGGAAUCCGUUUUCUAAAACAUUCAAGAAACAAGCUGCACUACAAUUUUGUAUUCACGUUAUUUUUCGUUACCCUUAUUUUCGGGGAUGAAACCACUACCUACUUUUGAUUUUCAAAUGGCAACCUAUAUUAAAAGUUACACAAACAGAUGGAGUA